UGCCAGCCGCCGCGGUAAUACGGAGGGGGUUAGCGUUGUUCGGAAUUACUGGGCGUAAAGCGCGCGUAGGCGGACUAUUAAGUCAGGUGUGAAAGCUCGGGGCUCAACCCCGGAAGUGCACUUGAAACAGCAAGACUUGAAUACGGUAGAGAAGAGAGGAAUUCCUGGUGUAGAGGUGAAAUUCGUAGAUAUCAGGAGGAACACCGAUGGCGAAGGCAUCUCUCUGGGUCGAUAUUGACGCUGAGGCGCGAAGGCGUGGGUAGCGAACGGGAUUAGAUA
rnacentral:rRNA from 1 species